rnacentral:rRNA from 1 species
GAAACCCAGUGUGACUCGUCACACUAUCAUUAACUGAAUCCAUAGGUUAAUGAGGCGAACCGGGGGAACUGAAACAUCUAAGUACCCCGAGGAAAAGAAAUCAACCGAGAUUCCCCCAGUAGCGGCGAGCGAACGGGGAGGAGCCCAGAGCCUGAAUCAGCAUGUGUGUUAGUGGAAGCGUCUGGAAAGGCGCGCGAUACAGGGUGACAGCCCCGUACACAAAAGCGCACAUGCUGUGAGCUCGAUGAGUAGGGCGGGACACGUGGUAUCCUGUCUGAAUAUGGGGGGACCAUCCUCCAAGGCUAAAUACUCCUGACUGACCGAUAGUGAACCAGUACCGUGAGGGAAAGGCGAAAAGAACCCCGGCGAGGGGAGUGAAAAAGAACCUGAAACCGUGUACGUACAAGCAGUGGGAGCCCCACCACUAAGCCAGUGGUGAACUCCACAUACGCAUCCUUUGCUGAGGAUACGGUUAACGGAGCGAAAGCGACGUUCAACCGCAAAAGAAGCAGAGGGGGCUUAGUGGUGGGGUGACUGCGUACCUUUUGUAUAAUGGGUCAGCGACUUAUAUUCUGUAGCAAGGUUAACCGUAUAGGGGAGCCGCAGGGAAACCGAGUCUUAACCGGGCGUUAAGUUGCAGGGUAUAGACCCGAAACCCGGUGAUCUAGCCAUGGGCAGGUUGAAGGUUGGGUAACACUAACUGGAGGACCGAACCGACUAAUGUUGAAAAAUUAGCGGAUGACCUGUGGCUGGGGGUGAAAGGCCAAUCAAACCGGGAGAUAGCUGGUUCUCCCCGAAAGCUAUUUAGGUAGCGCCUCGUGAACUCAUCUCCGGGGGUAGAGCACUGUUUCGGCUAGGGGGCCAUCCCGGCUUACCAACCCGAUGCAAACUGCGAAUACCGGAGAAUGUUAUCACGGGAGACACACGGCGGGUGCUAACGUCCGUCGUGAAGAGGGAAACAACCCAGACCGCCAGCUAAGGUCCCAAAGUCAUGGUUAAGUGGGAAACGAUGUGGGAAGGCCCAGACAGCCAGGAUGUUGGCUUAGAAGCAGCCAUCAUUUAAAGAAAGCGUAAUAGCUCACUGGUCGAGUCGGCCUGCGCGGAAGAUGUAACGGGGCUAAACCAUGCACCGAAGCUGCGGCAGCGACACUAUGUGUUGUUGGGUAGGGGAGCGUUCUGUAAGCCUGUGAAGGUGGCCUGUGAGGGUUGCUGGAGGUAUCAGAAGUGCGAAUGCUGACAUAAGUAACGAUAAAGCGGGUGAAAAGCCCGCUCGCCGGAAGACCAAGGGUUCCUGUCCAACGUUAAUCGGGGCAGGGUGAGUCGACCCCUAAGGCGAGGCCGAAAGGCGUAGUCGAUGGGAAACGGGUUAAUAUUCCCGUACUUGGUGUUACUGCGAAGGGGGGACGGAGAAGGCUAUGUUGGCCGGGCGACGGUUGUCCCGGUUUAAGCGUGUAGGUGUGUGUUCCAGGUAAAUCCGGUUCACUUUAACACUGAGGCGUGAUGACGAGGCACUACGGUGCUGAAGCAACAAAUGCCCUGCUUCCAGGAAAAGCCUCUAAGCAUCAGGUAACAUCAAAUCGUACCCCAAACCGACACAGGUGGUCAGGUAGAGAAUACCAAGGCGCUUGAGAGAACUCGGGUGAAGGAACUAGGCAAAAUGGUGCCGUAACUUCGGGAGAAGGCACGCUGACAUGUAGGUGAAGUGAUUUACUCAUGGAGCUGAAGUCAGUCGAAGAUACCAGCUGGCUGCAACUGUUUAUUAAAAACACAGCACUGUGCAAACACGAAAGUGGACGUAUACGGUGUGACGCCUGCCCGGUGCCGGAAGGUUAAUUGAUGGGGUCAGCGCAAGCGAAGCUCCUGAUCGAAGCCCCGGUAAACGGCGGCCGUAACUAUAACGGUCCUAAGGUAGCGAAAUUCCUUGUCGGGUAAGUUCCGACCUGCACGAAUGGCGUAAUGAUGGCCAGGCUGUCUCCACCCGAGACUCAGUGAAAUUGAACUCGCUGUGAAGAUGCAGUGUACCCGCGGCAAGACGGAAAGACCCCGUGAACCUUUACUAUAGCUUGACACUGAACAUUGAGCCUUGAUGUGUAGGAUAGGUGGGAGGCUUUGAAGUGUGGACGCCAGUCUGCAUGGAGCCGACCUUGAAAUACCACCCUUUAAUGUUUGAUGUUCUAACGUGGACCCGUAAUCCGGGUUGCGGACAGUGUCUGGUGGGUAGUUUGACUGGGGCGGUCUCCUCCUAAAGAGUAACGGAGGAGCACGAAGGUUGGCUAAUCCUGGUCGGACAUCAGGAGGUUAGUGCAAUGGCAUAAGCCAGCUUGACUGCGAGCGUGACGGCGCGAGCAGGUGCGAAAGCAGGUCAUAGUGAUCCGGUGGUUCUGAAUGGAAGGGCCAUCGCUCAACGGAUAAAAGGUACUCCGGGGAUAACAGGCUGAUACCGCCCAAGAGUUCAUAUCGACGGCGGUGUUUGGCACCUCGAUGUCGGCUCAUCACAUCCUGGGGCUGAAGUAGGUCCCAAGGGUAUGGCUGUUCGCCAUUUAAAGUGGUACGCGAGCUGGGUUUAGAACGUCGUGAGACAGUUCGGUCCCUAUCUGCCGUGGGCGCUGGAGAACUGAGGGGGGCUGCUCCUAGUACGAGAGGACCGGAGUGGACGCAUCACUGGUGUUCGGGUUGUCAUGCCAAUGGCACUGCCCGGUAGCUAAAUGCGGAAGAGAUAAGUGCUGAAAGCAUCUAAGCACGAAACUUGCCCCGA